AUAAUAACAAAUAAUCACUUCUUAUCAUUUAGUCAAUACUAAAUAUUAUAAAAGAUAAAAGAUUUUACAAGGAGGUUAUUAUUCACUUCGGAAGUUAUUAGAUAUGAACUACUUUAUUAAUUGUUUAAUGCAUAACUAAGUUAUAACAUAUGGCUAAUGUUGUUUUAGAGUUCUACUUAGAGUAGACUUCUCCCUCCACUUCCAAGCACUUCCAAGUUUUCACCUUACACUUUCAAACUUCUUUUUAAUGUCUAAACUACCCUUUCAAUAAAGCUAAUUUUUUUCUCUCUCUUAUAAUUACCUCACGUAUCUACCACCCAAUUUUUCGUAAACUAAACCUACUACUGUACC
rnacentral:lncRNA from 1 species